rnacentral:rRNA from 1 species
UACGUAGGGCGCAAGCGUUGUCCGGAAUUAUUGGGCGUAAAGAGCUCGUAGGCGGUCUGUUACGUCUGCUGUGAAAACCCAGGGCUUAACCCUGGGCUUGCAGUGGAUACGGGCAGACUAGAGGCAGGUAGGGGAGAAUGGAAUUCCCGGUGUAGCGGUGAAAUGCGCAGAUAUCGGGAGGAACACCGGUGGCGAAGGCGGUUCUCUGGGCCUGACCUGACGCUGAGGAGCGAAAGCGCGGGGAGCGAACAGG